rnacentral:rRNA from 1 species
GUAGUCCGUACGAGCGCACCCCUUGUCCUUAGUUACCAUCAUUAAGUUGGGGACUCUAAGGAGACUGCCGGUGACAAACCGGAGGAAGGCGGGGACGACGUCAAGUCAUCAUGGCCCUUACGAGUAGGGCUACACACGUGCUACAAUGGCAAGUACAGAGGGUUGCGAAGCAGCAAUGUGAAGCUAAUCCCAGAAAGCUUGUCGUAGUCCGGAUUGGAGUCUGCAACUCGACUCCAUGAAGUCGGAAUCGCUAGUAAUCGUGAAUCAGAAUGUCACGGUGAAUACGUUCCCGGGCCUUGUACACACCGCCCGUCACACCAUGGGAGUGGGUUGCUCCAGAAGUAGAUAGCCUAACCUUCGGGGGGGCGUUUACCACGGAGUGAUUCAUGACUGGGGUGAAGUCGUAACAAGGUAGCCCUAGGGGAACCUGGGGCUGGAUCACCUCCUU